rnacentral:tRNA from 1 species
GGGAUUAUGGUGUAACGGUUAACACUGAGGUUUGUGGAACCUUCGAUCUGGGUUCGAUUCCCAGUAGUCCCC